AUACGGAAGGUCCGGGCGUUAUCCGGAUUUAUUGGGUUUAAAGGGAGCGCAGGCGGAGAUGCAAGCGUGACGUCAAAUUUCGGGGCUCAACCCCGUCUCGCGUCGCGAACUGCGUCCCUUGGUUGCGGGAAGGGGAGGCGGAACUCGUGGUGUAGCGGUGAAAUGCAUAGAUAUCACGAAGAACUCCGAUCGCGAAGGCAGCCUUCCGGCCCGUCAACGACGUUCAUGCUCGAAGGUGCGGGUAUCAAACAGGAUUAGAUACCCUGGUAGUCCGCACAGUAAACGAUGGACACCCGCGGUUUGGCCUGUAUGGCUGAGCCGCCAAGCGAAAGCGUUAAGUGUCCCACCUGGGGAGUACGCCGGCAACGGUGAAACUCAAAUGAAUUGACGGGG
rnacentral:rRNA from 1 species